rnacentral:rRNA from 1 species
AUUGAACGCUGGCGGCAUGCUUUACACAUGCAAGUCGGACGGCAGCACAGAGAAGCUUGCUUCUUGGGUGGCGAGUGGCGAACGGGUGAGUAAUAUAUCGGAACGUACCGAGUAAUGGGGGAUAACUAAUCGAAAGAUUAGCUAAUACCGCAUAUUCUCUGAGGAGGAAAGCAGGGGACCUUCGGGCCUUGCGUUAUUCGAGCGGCCGAUAUCUGAUUAGCUAGUUGGUGGGGUAAAGGCCUACCAAGGCGACGAUCAGUAGCGGGUCUGAGAGGAUGAUCCGCCACACUGGGACUGGACACGCCCAGACUCCUACGGGAGGCAGCAGUGGGGAAUUUUGGACAAUGGGCGCAAGCCUGAUCCAGCCAUGCCGCGUGUCUGAAGAAGGCCUUCGGGUUGUAAAGGACUUUUGUCAGGGAAGAAAAGGAUAGGGUUAAUACCCCCGUUUGAUGACGGUACCUGAAGAAUAAGCACCGGC